rnacentral:tRNA from 3 species
GCUGGAAUAGCUCAGUUGGUAGAGCAACUGAUUUGUAAUCAGUAGGUCCCGGGUUCGAAUCCUGGUUCCAGCACCA